rnacentral:tRNA from 1 species
GUGGGAUUGUGGCUCAGUGGUAGAGCUAUUGUCUAACAUGUGCGAGACCCUGGGUUCAAUCCUCAGCACCACA